rnacentral:rRNA from 1 species
GAUGAACGCUGGCGGCGUGCCUAAUACAUGCAAGUCGAGCGAACAGACGAGGAGCUUGCUCCUCUGAUGUUAGCGGCGGACGGGUGAGUAACACGUGGAUAACCUACCUAUAAGACUGGGAUAACUUCGGGAAACCGGAGCUAAUACCGGAUAACAUGUUGAACCGCAUGGUUCAACAGUGAAAGACGGUCUUGCUGUCACUUAUAGAUGGAUCCGCGCCGCAUUAGCUAGUUGGUAAGGUAACGGCUUACCAAGGCAACGAUGCGUAGCCGACCUGAGAGGGUGAUCGGCCACACUGGAACUGAGACACGGUCCAGACUCCUACGGGAGGCAGCAGUAGGGAAUCUUCCGCAAUGGGCGAAAGUCUGACGGAGCAACGCCGCGUGAGUGAAGAAGGUCUUCGGAUCGUAAAACUCUGUUAUUAGGGAAGAACAAAUGUGUAAGUAACUAUGCACGUCUUGACGGUACCUAAUCAGAAAGCCACGGCUAACUACGUG